rnacentral:rRNA from 1 species
ACCCGCACAAGUGGUGGAGCAUGUGGUUUAAUUCGAAGAUACACGAAGAACCUUACCUGGCCUUGACAUGGUAGGAACCCUUAAGAGAUUAGGGGUGCUAGCUUGCUAGAACCUACACACAGGUGCUGCACGGCUGUCGUCAGCUCGUGUCGUGAGAUGUUGGGUUAAGUCCCCGCAACGAGCGCAACCCUCGUCCUUAGUUGCUAACAGUUCGGCUGGGCACUCUAAAGGGACUGCCGGUGUCAAACCGGAGGAAGUGGGGAUGACGUCAAGUCCUCAUGGCCCUUAUAGGUGGGGCUACACACGUCAUACAAUGGCUGGUACAAAGGGUUGCCAACCCGCGAGGGGGAGCCAAUCCCAUAAAGCCAGUCGUAGUCCGGAUCGUAGUCUGCAACUCGACUACGUGAAGUCGGAAUCGCUAGUAAUCGUGGAUCAGAAUGUCACGGUGAAUACGUUCCCGGGUCUU